rnacentral:rRNA from 1 species
GACGAACGCUGGCGGCGUGCUUAACACAUGCAAGUCGAACGAUGAAGGAGGAGCUUGCUCCUCCGGAUUAGUGGCGAACGGGUGAGUAAUACGUGAGCAAUGUGCCCUUGACUCUGGGAUAAGCGCUGGAAACGGCGUCUAAUACCGGAUACGACCCUCGGAGGCAUCUCCUGAAGGUGGAAAGAACUUCGGUCAAGGAUCAGCUCACGGCCUAUCAGCUAGUUGGUGAGGUAACGGCUCACCAAGGCGACGACGGGUAGCCGGCCUGAGAGGGUGACCGGCCACACUGGGACUGAGACACGGCCCAGACUCCUACGAGAGGCAGCAGUGGGGAAUAUUGCACAAUGGGCGCAAGCCUGAUGCAGCAACGCCGCGUGAGGGACGAAGGCCUUCGGGUUGUAAACCUCUUUUAGCAGGGAAGAAGCGAAAGUGACGGUACCUGCAGAAAAAGCACCGGCUAACUACGUGCCAGCCGCCGCCGUAACAC